GAUCCUGGCUCAGAUUGAACGCUGGCGGCAGGCCUAACACAUGCAAGUCGAGCGGGGUUUUCGGACCUAGCGGCGGACGGGUGAGUAAUGCGUAGGAAGCUGCCCGAUAGAGGGGGAUACCAGUUGGAAACGACUGUUAAUACCGCAUAAUGUCUACGGACCAAAGUGUGGGACCUUCAGGCCACAUGCUAUCGGAUGCGCCUACGUGGGAUUAGCUAGUUGGUGAGGUAAUGGCUCACCAAGG
rnacentral:rRNA from 1 species